UACAGAGGGGGCAAGCGUUGUUCGGAAUUACUGGGCGUAAAGGGCGCGUAGGCGGCUUUCUAAGUCGAACGUGAAAUCCCCGGGCUCAACCCGGGAACUGCGUCCAAGACUGGGAGGCUUGAAUCCGGGAGAGGGAUGCGGAAUUCCAGGUGUAGCGGUGAAAUGCGUAGAUAUCUGGAGGAACACCGGUGGCGAAGGCGGCAUCCUGGACCGGUAUUGACGCUGAGGAGCGAAAGCCAGGGGAGCAAAGCGGG
rnacentral:rRNA from 1 species